AGAGUUUGAUCCUGGCUCAGGACGAACGCUGGCGGCACGCUUAACACAUGCAAGUCGAACGAGAGAAGAGGAGCUUGCUUUUCUGAUCUAGUGGCGGACGGGUGAGUAACACGUGAGCAAUCUGCCUUUCAGAGGGGGAUACCGAUUGGAAACGAUCGUUAAUACCGCAUAACAUAAUUGAACCGCAUGAUUUGAUUAUCAAAGAUUUAUCGCUGAAAGAUGAGCUCGCGUCUGAUUAGCUAGUUGGUAAGGUAACGGCUUACCAAGGCGACGAUCAGUAGCCGGACUGAGAGGUUGAUCGGCCACAUUGGGACUGAGACACGGCCCAGACUCCUACGGGAGGCAGCAGUGGGGAAUAUUGCACAAUGGAGGAAACUCUGAUGCAGCGAUGCCGCGUGAGGGAAGAAGGUUUUAGGAUUGUAAACCUCUGUCUUCAGGGACGAAAAAAGACGGUACCUGAGGAGGAAGCUCCGGCUAACUACGUGCCAGCAGCCGCGGUAAUACGUAGGGAGCGAGCGUUGUCCGGAAUUACUGGGUGUAAAGGGAGCGUAGGCGGGAUCGCAAGUCAGAUGUGAAAACUAUGGGCUUAACCCAUAAACUGCAUUUGAAACUGUGGUUCUUGAGUGAAGUAGAGGUAAGCGGAAUUCCUAGUGUAGCGGUGAAAUGCGUAGAUAUUAGGAGGAACAUCAGUGGCUAAGGCGGCUUACUGGGCUUUAACUGACGCUGAGGCUCGAAAGCGUGGGGAGCAAACAGGAUUAGAUACCCUGGUAGUCCACGCCGUAAACGAUGAUUACUAGGUGUGGGGGGACUGACCCCUUCCGUGCCGCAGCAAACGCAAUAAGUAAUCCACCUGGGGAGUACGACCGCAAGGUUGAAACUCAAAGGAAUUGACGGGGGCCCGCACAAGCAGUGGAGUAUGUGGAUUAAUUCGAAGCAACGCGAAGAACCUUACCAGGUCUUGACAUCGUAUGCAUAGCUCAGAGAUGAGUGAAAUCUCUUCGGAGACAUAUAGACAGGUGGUGCAUGGUUGUCGUCAGCUCGUGUCGUGAGAUGUUGGGUUAAGUCCCGCAACGAGCGCAACCCUUACUGUUAGUUGCUACGCAAGAGCACUCUAGCAGGACUGCCGUUGACAAAACGGAGGAAGGUGGGGAUGACGUCAAAUCAUCAUGCCCCUUAUGACCUGGGCCUCACACGUACUACAAUGGCUGUCAACAGAGGGAAGCAAAGCCGCGAGGUGGAGCGAACCCCUAAAAGCAGUCUUAGUUCGGAUUGUAGGCUGCAACCCGCCUACAUGAAGUCGGAAUUGCUAGUAAUCGCAGAUCAGCAUGCUGCGGUGAAUACGUUCCCGGGCCUUGUACACACCGCCCGUCACGCCAUGGGAGUCGGUAACACCCGAAGCCUGUAGUCUAACCGCAAGGAGGACGCAGUCGAAGGUGGGAUUGAUGACUGGGGUGAAGUCGUAACAAGGUA
rnacentral:rRNA from 1 species